rnacentral:lncRNA from 13 species
CUCCCCCCGACCCCCCGCCUCCGCGAACCUCACGGAGGCCUCUUGGGUCACUGUUUCUCUCCUCUCCUGCUCCAGCCCUGUGGGGAGGGCCUGUCAGCCUUCACCUAGGCCAUGUCCUGGUAUUGCCACAAAGCUCCUUGGAGGCCGUUUCUCACCAGAGCCGUUAGGAGGUCCCUCCAUCAGGCCUGGGGCUCAUACACGUUCUCUCCUGUGAUCCUCUAGCCACCCUCUCCCGCAUCCCGCCUUCUGACCGGCCAGGGGUUCUGCACCAUGCAUGCUCAAGCUGGAACUGCCACCGCUCUGACAGAGACCAGCUCUAAAUCAGAUAGCCACCAUUAUGUUCCCAACGUCCGCAGUACUCAGUAUGGUAACAUGCUGUGGAGGCAUGGAGCCCAGGAGCAAUCAGCUCUACCCUCCAGCCCAGGUGCAUGUAUGGCUGGACCACCUGGAGGAAGCCGAGGAGACAUGAGCUGAAGGCAGAGGGUGAGUCCGAGGUGGGAUCUUGGGACCGGUGUGAGAAGUUGGACAAAAACGGGUGAAAUCUGAAU